AUGGGUGCUUCUUUACGAUGUUACAGAAUGUCUGCGAGAGACGGGGCUCCAGUUCCCGCCUGCUCUCUAAGUCGCCCGCCCCACAAAGAACUUAAACAUUCCUCUAGGCUGAAGUUUGGAACUAUGGCUUCACAACAAAGACCACUGUUUCUCCUCCCGCGUCUCACCCCUGGCAAAAAGGAAAACAGAAAAGAAAACGCACUUGUUCACUACCCCUGUUUACAGCUGUGAAGCACAUUUCCUCUGUCGCACAC
rnacentral:lncRNA from 1 species